UCCUCGAUAGCUCAGCUGGCAGCAGCGGCGCACUGUUAAUGCGCAGGUCCCUGGUUCGACCCCAGGUCGAGGAGCCA
rnacentral:tRNA from 1 species